rnacentral:rRNA from 1 species
AUUGAACGCUGGCGGCAGGCCUAACACAUGCAAGUCGAACGGUAACAGGAAGAAGCUUGCUUCUUUGCUGACGAGUGGCGGACGGGUGAGUAAUGUCUGGGAAACUGCCUGAUGGAGGGGGAUAACUACUGGAAACGGUAGCUAAUACCGCAUAACGUCGCAAGACCAAAGAGGGGGACCUUCGGGCCUCUUGCCAUCGGAUGUGCCCAGAUGGGAUUAGCUAGUAGGUGGGGUAACGGCUCACCUAGGCGACGAUCCCUAGCUGGUCUGAGAGGAUGACCGGCAAGACGGGAACUGAGACACGGUCCACACUCCAAGGGGAGGAAGCAGGGGGAAUUAUUGAAAAAGGGGCGAAAGCUGAAUGCAGCCCUGCGGCGGGUAGGAAGAAGCCCUGGUGGUUGAAAAGUACUUUAAGCGGGGAGGAAGGGAGUAAAUUUAAUACCUUCUCUCAUUGACGUUACCCGAAGAAGAGGCCCGGGCUAACCCGGUC